rnacentral:rRNA from 1 species
GACGAACGCUGGCGGCGUGCUUAACACAUGCAAGUCGAACGGUCUCCAUCCCGUGGCAACACGGGGGAAGAGAUAGUGGCGAACGGGUGAGUAACACGUGAGAAACCUGUCCUGGUCUCUGGGAUAACAGUCGGAAACAACUGCUAAUACCGGAUGCCGUCGGAGCGUCGCAUGGCGCGCUGACGAAAGGGUUACUGGAUCAGGAGGGUCUCGCGGCCUAUCAGCUUGUUGGUGGGGUAACGGCCUACCAAGGCAUCGACGGGUAGCUGGUCUGAGAGGAUGAUCAGCCACACUGGGACUGAGACACGGCCCAGACUCCUACGGGAGGCAGGCAGUGGGGAAUCUUGCGCAAUGGGCGAAAGCCUGACGCAGCAACGCCGCGU